UACUCAAUCUAAUUUUCCUCUAGGCUUCGAGCCACAGGCUUCCCUGAGAAUAAGUAGAAUGGAGAUUUGAAACACUUUUUAUUCAUUUCACAGGGAUGUGUAGGACUCUCAUUGUUACCACCAGGCACAUGUCUCUGUGUGAUACAAAGGAGGAGAAGGCACAUCCUGUCUGUGUUACACAAACAAGUAAUCACAACUGAAUGUGACAAGCCAUCAUGUGACUUUAUGAUGUGCCAGAAACAUCAUAAAGAGCUGUGGAAGCACCUCCAGAGGAAACAACGAUUACACUUUGGGGAACGAGAAGCAGUUCUGUUGGAGGUGACAUCAGUUCAAUGGAAUAAACGUGUAUCAAGGGCCAGGCAUGGUCCUGGUGUACUGUGUGAGAGAGAGCACAUAGGGGAGGGGCAGAGAGAGAGGAAGAGAAUCCCAAGCAGGCUCCAUGCUCAAGGUGGAAGCCCAGACCACAAUAACAUGACCUGAGCUGAAAUCAAGAGCUGGCCACUCAACCAACUGAGCCACCCAGGCACCCCUCAUAUCAGCCGAAGGAUGACUGAACAAAAAGAGAACACAAUGUUUGGAAGGCAAAGGCGUGAUUAAUAUUAAAUAUCUUGAGAGGAGCCUUCUCGGUGAUAUAUUUCAUCUUGUCGCCCUGAACUGUUUAAGAGCUUGGAGCCCUGAGACCACCAUUUUAGGACGGAUGAACCAGCUUACUGGAGUAGACACGUAGCGGAGAACCAAGGGACCCCAGCAAAUAUCCUGACAUCCCAGUGACUGAGGCCAUUCUUGAACUAUCCACCAGCUGACUGGCUACCAGAGAGAGCUCAGGAGAGACCAGCCGAGGAGCUACCUGGUUGAACUAGCCCAAGUGUCAAGCCACAGAAU